rnacentral:rRNA from 1 species
GAUGAACGCUGGCGGCGUGCCUAAUACAUGCAAGUCGAGCGAACAGACGAGGAGCUUGCUCCUCUGACGUUAGCGGCGGACGGGUGAGUAACACGUGGAUAACCUACCUAUAAGACUGGGAUAACUUCGGGAAACCGGAGCUAAUACCGGAUAACAUGUUGAACCGCAUGGUUUAACAGUGAAAGACGGUCUUGCUGUCACUUAUAGAUGGAUCCGCGCCGCAUUAGCUAGUUGGUAAGGUAACGGCUUACCAAGGCAACGAUGCGUAGCCGACCUGAGAGGGUGAUCGGCCACACUGGAACUGAGACACGGCCCAGACCCCUACGGGAGGCAGCAGUGGGGAAUCUUCCGCAAUGGGCGAAAGCCUGACGGAGCAACGCCGCGUGAGUGAAGAAGGUCUUCGGAUCGUAAAACUCUGUUAUUAGGGAAGAACAAAUGUGAAAGUAACUAUGCACGUCUUGACGGUACCUAACCAGAAAGCCACGGCUAACUACGU